UUUUCAUUUAUAGAAUUUGUUUUGAUGCCACAUCUCAAUAAAACCAGACUCCACACACAAAUAUUUUAAUUUCCACACCAUGUUGUCUUGACUUACAUCAAGCAAAUUUACUGUAAAUUCAGUUUGUUUUCAGUUAUCAGGUAUUCAGGUUUCAGUCUUGUGUUUCUUUAGACUUUCCAGUCCGCCAUUGACCCACCUCAGUUUAAAGACUUAUCCAACAUCACUAUCAACCAAGGCCUCUCUUUUGAGGCUGUGAAGAAAUCUGUCUCCAAACUGAAGACGCAGCUGGAGGACUUCUGCAGGAAGGAAGUCAUGAUGAUAUCUGCAGCAGUGUCUGAAGUUCAGGCUGUUUGUCCUGAACCAGUGACCAGACAGGAGUCCUUUUCAGGUGUGCUGUCAUAGGUGUGCCACAGUAAGGGAAGUAGAGUGUAGAUGAACUUUAGAGAGGUGAGUGUAGAGAAUUUGGGGCCUCCAGACAGACAGUCUGAUCCUCUGUGAAGUCAUUGUCAGAAAAAGUGUAUGGGUCUGUGUGUGUGUGUGUGUGUGUGUGUGUGUCUCUUUGUGUGCAUAGA
rnacentral:lncRNA from 1 species